rnacentral:sRNA from 1 species
CCGCAAUAGGGAUUGAAACGUAAAUCCUUUUUUGGUGGCGCAGGCUCCCGGAGCCACCAAAAAAGAUUGCAGUGGAAAGCCCGGCCCUUG